CCAACGUCCUAUUCCCGCACCGCCGUCUCCAUUCCCUUCUCCCUUCUCCUUCCUCUUUCAGCCUCGUCUUCAUUCCCAUGAACGAGAUAUCGUUCCCCUACGCUCUUUAUAUUCCAAUCUGACCAGCUCCAGCAGCACUCCGGCGACGCACUCCGGCGAUGUCCUCGAUACCCACAUCCUCGCCGUCCACCGCUGCCGACCAGCUGGAGCACAUCCCCUUCUCUCUCGGCGCGGCCCUGUAUCCUGUCCUUGACGGUCCUCCAAUACCACCUCCGCGCCGCACGACGGCGACCUCCACGACCCCUGUGCCCUCUGAUGGUUAUUUUCUUCAAGCGCCGGCAUUCAGGUGUUGAAAGUAUGGAGAAUGCAUACUAAUACAUCGUGUUGGAGACAACGGACAAUAGGAGGUUAAAGGAUGGGAAGGAACAUGCUCAUUACCGGACACAGGGUAUGGGUGCUGCUUAGAGAGCAAUGAGGAAGUACUGUGAGGCAAAAGGAAAAGGGAUGCAGCCAGAAUACAUUUUUGAGCCAGUGGAUGUUCAGCAGUGAACAAAUGUAGCACUAGAAAUUUGACACACCAGUGGCUUUCUUACCCUUAUAAACUUUGCAGCCUGAACAUGGAAGGUUUGUCCUGUGAUAAGUAUUGUUCAGUUUCACCUGUGGGCUGUCAUGACUCGGCAUCCCCCUCGUCUAAAGAUCAUAUUUGUUGCCAUUGGAGGCGUGGUUUAGGUAUUUCUGGAAGCUUAUGACAUCCCUCCACGAUGGGGAUAUGUAGAUGGUCGUGCUAUCUGCCUUGCUGUGGCUAUGCUCCUAUCGUACCUUUGGUGGAGCUUCGCCAAGAAAGAUGCUGAGAUGCGCACAUCAGAAAUCACAAUGAAGACAUGAUAAUGAGCAAAUACUAUCUGCCAUCUCUGAUUAUUUCAUGUCUGCACCCAGCCUUUGUAAAGAUAAACAUUUCACGUGUAAUGUUAGGUAACUUAGUAUGUGAAUUAUCAUCUAUUAUUUUUACCAUGAUGUCUA